CGUGACCAAUAAACCAUGUGUCUUCGCAAAACGUGUGUUCCGCUUUUUAUUUACAUUCUUUUUGCGUCUCCGACAGCACACAUGUCACAGCAACGAAAUUUGCAUUAGUUUUGCCGCCUGAAAAGUACCAAUUCGCUUUUUAAAUGUGUGAAUUCAUACUCUGUGUUUACAAGUUUACGGCACGAGCAGUGCGAAGCACACGGUGUUGUGGAAGCCCUUUGACGGUCAAAACAAUAAGUUGUCUUUGAGAGCUCGAGUGAUUGGCCGAGUGCAGCCCUAAGGUGUGAAAAUUUCCUGGCUCUGGACGACACACUAGGCACGUCCAGACUAUAUUUUGGCGCUUCUACGACAUUUUGCCAAAGAUUUCACACGUUCCUGAACUCUUCCCUCUUGAUAAAGCUCAAAUACGAUUUACGCGGCAAGAAGAUCUUUACGUGACUCAUGGUAGGAAGUUUACGUGGGCAAACUCUUGUACAACAUGAUAAGAUAACUCGAAAAAACGCACUUCGUUGGCCAUUAACACCUCAGCUCUUGCCUUGUUCAGUAGUCAGUGCAAUUUUGACAAAGUUUUGAAACUGCCUAGAACGUCUGUGUGCCGAUUUGAAAGGAGCUUGGCAGAAAUCCUAAUCGUGUACCGAACAUAUUGUAAGGAAAACUGAGCAAGCUAAAAAGAAGGACCUGUUGUAGCUAAAAGGAUCUUUUAUACUGAAGCCACAAGAUGAACAAAAUUUGGCGCCCUUGGGUAGAGAGUCCCCAGGACUGCCAGAGAAAACGCCGACCACGAUACACGGUAAGUUAUUCCAUUUCGACAACUUUAAAAUUAUAUUCUUGGAGAUGUAUUUCGCAACACAAUUCGUUGUGGCCGUAGCAUGUAAAUUUUACACAAUAAAAGAAAAAAAAAUUGUCAAUUAAAUAUAUCCAGUGAAGGUUGCACUUUUCGCCAAAAUAUGUCACGCGCGUCAUCUCUU